rnacentral:rRNA from 1 species
GAUGAACGCUGGCGGCGUGCUUAACACAUGCAAGUCGAACGGGAAUUACUUUAUUGAAACUUCGGUCGAUUUAAUUUAAUUCUAGUGGCGGACGGGUGAGUAACGCGUGGGUAACCUGCCUUGUACAGGGGGAUAACAGUCAGAAAUGACUGCUAAUACCGCAUAAGCGCACAGAGCUGCAUGGCUCGGUGUGAAAAACUCCGGUGGUAUAAGAUGGACCCGCGUUGGAUUAGCUAGUUGGUGAGGUAACGGCCCACCAAGGCGACGAUCCAUAGCCGGCCUGAGAGGGUGAACGGCCACAUUGGGACUGAGACACGGCCCAGACUCCUACGGGAGGCAGCAGUGGGGAAUAUUGCACAAUGGGGGAAACCCUGAUGCAGCGACGCCGCGUGAAGGAAGAAGUAUCUCGGUAUGUAAACUUCUAUCAGCAGGGAAGAGAUUGACGGUACCUGAUUAAGAAGCCCCGGCUAACUACGUGCCAGCCGCCGCGAUAAAAC